rnacentral:rRNA from 1 species
GUAGGUGGCAAGCGUUGUCCGGAAUUAUUGGGCGUAAAGCGCGCGCAGGCGGUUCUUUAAGUCUGAUGUGAAAGCCCACGGCUCAACCGUGAAGGGUCAUUGGAAACUGGAGAACUUGAGUACAGAAGAGGAAAGCGGAAUUCCACGUGUAGCGGUGAAAUGCGUAGAGAUGUGGAGGAACACCAGUGGCGAAGGCGGCUUUCUGGUCUGUAACUGACGCUGAGGCGCGAAAGCGUGGGGAGCAAACAGGGAUUAGAUACCCUGGUAGUCCACGCCGUAAACGAUGAGUGCUAAGUGUUAGGGGGUUUCCCGCCCCUUAGUGCUGCAGCUAACGCAUUAAGCACUCCGCCUGGGGAGUACGGCCCGCAAGGCUG